UGAACUUGUGUUUUAUCCUUGAUUCUACUUGUUCUGUGGCUUCCAUCUUGGGAUGAGCAGCUACUGGAUCUCUGGCUCUCUAGUUCACAGGUGGCCAUUUUGGAUUUUUCCACCUCUGAUCUUGCAAAUGGUCACUGUGGACUUUUCCACCUCUGAUUCUGUAAGCCUACCUAAUAAAUCCCUUUGCAUAAUUACCAUGUAUUUCUCUUGAUUCUAUUUGUCUAGAGAACCCUAAUAAUGCAGUGCCAAAUAUUGAUGUAAUCUGGAGAUGGAAAACACAAGGAAGGUCAUUUUACAUGGCUUAAAUUUGAAAUGCAACAAAAUAGCAUAUCACAAGUAAAUGUAAGUAAAAGUCUUUACACACAACAACUCUACUAUUUAGAGUCACAGAUCCAAAAUAAUCUGCCUUCUCUUAUAUUUAUGAACAUUCUAUUAGCUAAAAGAGCCACCACCACCCCCAUUCCAGAUGUGGCUCUCUGUACUAAUGACCAUCACUGUGGUAGGAGAACGUGAUUUGAGAGAAAGUGCCUGCCUUGUCACUGGGUGGUAGAAAAGGAUUGAGUGGGCAGAGGGCAAGACCACUUUAAGGGAUUUGUGAUCACUGCACAAGAUGUAUUUUCACUGGAUGAUUCUAACCAGACCCCAUAGGAUUUGAUUUGGGUGAGUGUGCUAUAAUUGGAUGCCAAGGCAUAAAGUUCAACAUGACAGAUUGAGUCAGGGUCAAUGCCAACUUCACCGGGUGUGUUGUGGAUCUUGCAACAUGAAUGGAUUAUGCUGCAAAGCUUGACAGCUGUGGCACCAGCAGAUAAACAAAAUGACAAGAUCAUUCAUGAAAGCUGAUCUUGCUGAAAAAACAGAAGAGCACAUGGUUGGCCAAGAUCAUUCAAGAUCAAACAAGUACUGACAAUGGCUUUAUCCUGGGUGUUCCAUGAUGUCCCUCCAAAAAGCAGCCAUCAGCCACAAACACAGCAGCAGCUCACACCAGUCAGUUCUGUGGCCAUGUGCUUGGUUUUCAAGUGCUUUUAAAGGUCCUGCUAGUCAGAAGGCUGAUGGAAAGUUCAUUAGCUAAGUAUCACACUCCUGAGCCAAAGACACUUGUGAGGAAGGUGAAAACCUAAUCUGUCCACUGAUUCAGAGAGCUAUUUUGAGAACUAUGUUAGCUACUAAAAGAAAAUUUGCUAUGUAAGACUUAUCCAGAUAAGUGCAGAUUAUCAAGGAAGACUGUUCUGAAACAAUUAAAAUACAUUUCAAUUAGACAAAAAUUCAUAAUUAAAACAUUAAAGUAGUUAAAGCUUAAGGAAAACUCCUCUCCCUCAAUAAUCUCUGCAGUUCUUACUUGAACUUGGAAGGCAGUCAAUAACUGGUAAAUGUUGUUAGAAAGAUUCACUCGUUGGCUCCCAGGGUUCCCCCAGGGUACUGAUGGAGAUAGACAACUACAGAUACAAUGUCAUAGAAACACUGGUCUAUUGGCAGUUGGUGCCAGGUGAAUAUUGGUCUUCCUUGUUGUAUUUUUUAGGUCAGAGGUCAACACUAUUGUUGUUUACUGCCCAUAGAUGUUUGUGUCAGGUUGGCCAAUGUCCACAGCAGGGUGUAGUAGCUGUUUCAUCAUCUUCCUGUAUGAGAAGACAGAGCAGACUUUUUUUUAAAAAAACCUCAAUGUGAAAUCCUUUCUAACGGAAUCAUUUUAAGUUGCUAUUUCAGGACACUUGCUUUCUUUCCGGAAUUCACAAGCUGAACUGAUUGGCCAAAUCUGAGAAAGUGGCACCUUCUCUUCCCAAUGGACUUCCAUAGCCUCUGGUUGCACCUGCUGGUUCUCUCUACCAAGGUCUCACCUCACCCAGGCACAAAUAUGCCAAGAAGCCAUCUGCCAAUGGUGGGAACUGACAGCUGCUCCACGGUGCUCAUCAGAGACCUUGAUUUCCACAUUGUGUAAGCAAGGAUAACCCAAGUGAACAGACCAAAGACUUUCUGUCUUGGAGAUCUUUCCCCAGAGUGUAUGUCCUACUUUCCCACCUGCCAUAGUGGAGAGUACCUUCUCAAACCACAUCCUAGAACUCCCAGUAAGGUAGGCAUAGGAACAAUUUGCCCAUCACCAUUAGUAGGAAAGGGGCAGAAAUUAGGAGAUACAAAGGGAAGAGACAUGUGUAUGUGUGUGUGUGUUUUUUCGUUUUUCUUCUCAUUUCUAGAAGACAAGGAGGAUAUUUAGGUAAGAGGAGAAAAAGAUUUACAGUUUUACUCAGACCACAAUGGAAAUCUGAAAUGGAAAUGCUAACCAUCUGCAAAGCGAUAGUAACAUUUGCAAAAGAACUGUCAUGUUAAAAUAUUUGCAGACUUUAUCAUUAGACAAACAUAAUAUUGUCCAACUUUUCUCCAUAAGUUCUGAAGAAGCUAAAACAUGUUAAUUGAUGGUAAAGAUGGCUUCAGAAUUACUUUUAUCCCCCAGGGUUAGACAUGUUACCUUUAUGUCAAAAAUAAUCACAAAAUUAAAUAAAGCAGGUAACAAGCAAGACUUUGCUAUAUAUUUUAUUGCACUUUUUUCCUUUUAUGUAAUAGCUAAUAGGAGUCAGGCAAAUACACCACAAGUUGAAGGAGAAUAUUAUCCUGUUCAUUCUUCCAGCUGUGAUCUGAGGAAGCAGAUCCUGUCCAUGGGGAAAACAUUUUUAAAAACAUAUAAACAUUAGCUAUCCACAAUAUAAUCAAUAUUGAAGCUACAAUUAAAGGAAAUGAUUAUCUUACUAUCUCUCUCUCUGACGAAGAAGGGGCUAGAGUUCUUUUGUUCUGGAUGACUGGGCAGCUUCUGAUCACUUUGGGUAAAAUGACAGGUAGACUUCCAACCCCGUGCGCUGAGCCACGCAUAGUCCCCAUGAGAUUCACUUCACAGUAAAAGAAAACACUUGCAUCAAUCUUGAUUCAUAGUCAUUCCAAGCAACUGAAGCAAACAUGCUUUUGGAUUAAAAUAUUCAGGUAUUUGUUUUAGUUGUCUUUUUCUUCCCAAUACCAAUUACAGACAAAAUUCUUUAGGUAAUGGAAGAAUAAAAUGAUGCUCAACACUGUCACCAAAUCAUGUCUAAAAUUUGUCCACAGUCUCAGGGACUGGUCCAGAAUUUGGAUUCUGGCACUUCUUGAAAGUCAUGCCCCAGGACACAUGCAAAGUCUUCCUUCAGUAAAAGCAGGGUGGUCCUUCAGAGACUAAGAAGGCAGCUGCCUGCCAGAAGGUCUUUGUGGAUUGCAGAAUUUCAGGCGCUCACACCUCUUAAUCCAGCACCAAAGACAGCCUGGCUGCCUCUCAGCCUCCAAUGUGCUGGUACAGCUGCAAAGAGCUAACUUUGGCAGCCAUAGAUCAUGGAGGCUUUGUCUCAGCUUCUCUCAGAAUAGCUUUUCAUCAGGAGACUCAGAACAUUUCUUAAAGCAAAUGCAGGAAGAAGAGGGAAAACGAAAUUCAUGGCUGCCAUAAAGAAAGAUCCUGUUUUGAAUCUUUGAGUUUUCUUGCAUAUCUACAGUGCAAGGGAUAUAUUACUUCUGGUUUAUGAAAGCUUGAUGUGGCAAAAAGAGCCAUGGAUUUGGAGCUGGAACAAUUUGGAAUCCAGUUCCAGCUUUGUCUAUAGUUCACAAGUAACUGAGUUUAGCUUCUUUGACCUUGGUUUCCUCAUCUGGAAAAUGAGAGGGUUUGGCUAGUUGAUCUUUGACCUAAUGAUUCUAUGAAAAGUGAAUGCUGGAAGCACAUGUUCACCUUCUCCAGUUACCAGCUGUGGGUAUAUGACUGGACCAAAUGGCACUAACUGUUGAAACGUUAAAUUUAGGGUGAAGGGAAAGCAGUAACUGUUGAAAUGUUUUAGGCUGAAGGGGAAGCAUUCUGAAAUGGGACAAGGGCACCUCAUGUUGAAACCUGGAGCUAGUCAACCCUCCAAUGCCAGGGGCAACAUUUGCUUCUGUCUCCCACCUAGCAUUUGUUUAGUUGGAAGUCUCCUCAGGACCAAAACUCUGAUCCAUAAUGUGUCUACCUAGCUUUAUGAGCAGUAUGAAUCAGGUAUUUUCCAAAAAAUUUAACUGUUUCUGUAACUGUUCUAUAAUUGUUCUAUAAGCUAACAGACUCAGAUAAUCUAGUCUUUAUAUCUGUUCCUUUUGGGUUAUGGCUAAGUAUUUCUGUUGGGAUCGUAUUUCUGCUCUCAAGGAAACACCAUUCUACUUUCGCUUCUCCCAAAUAGCUACUGAGAGGAGAUGCUUACUUUUCUUGAACAUGACAGUUGAGAGAGGGGCCUUUGGUCCAAGCUGUCCUCCCCAUCUUCUCUGGCCUCUAUCAGGUCAAUGAGCAACUUGUAUUGAUUUCCACCAGACAUGGCUAGUCCCACUUAGACUUUAGGCACCUCAUGUUACCAUCCGGCACUUUGCUAUUAAUUCUGGAUUUGAUGUACUGGCUCAUUGUGAAUUUAUUUUCUUGGACUCAGGACUUAUUUGAUUCACCAACUUUUUUUAGUGCACGUUGUCCAGCUUGGACAACAGGAAAUUCUGGAGCUCCUAUAUGUGACAUAAAAACUUAGGGAAUUGUGAUAGUGUAUCAGGCACUUGCUCUUUGCCAACUUCUUCCAUAUUACAAUUCCUAAUCUCCUUCAGCCUUCCUCAUCCCACCCACAAUAGUGCAAGACACCUGGUGAGGUUGACUCCUCCCAGAAUGGCCCAAGGCUGCUGCUACUCUAGGUCACGAGUUGUUGAUUUUUGGUGUGUGCCAUGGAAAGGAUGGAAGUGGAUGCAGUCCUGGACCAUUUUCCAUCUUAAUUUGUGAAUUUACAAAACAAUAGACUCUUGUCUUCAAAUUGACAUGGUUUCCCAAGUGAGGCGGGAGGGUGAGUUUGUUUGUGUGUGUGUGCAUGUGCGCACACAUAUAUUAUGACCUAGAGGAGUGGUUCUUAAACAUUAGCCUGCAAACAGUGGCCUGGAGUAUUUGUUAAAACAGACUUCUGGGUUUCACACCCAGUUUUUGAUUCUGUAAUGUAGAGUGAAAGCCUAGAAUUUGUAUUUUUAACAACUUCUUAGGUGAUACUUGUGCUGCUGGUCCCGGGAUCACAUUCAUCUGGAAUCUCAGGGCUCUGGUGCUGUGCAAAAUUGUAGUAAAAGCAAUGCAGCAUCUGAGAAAAACUUUGUGCUUGGGAACCUGAAAACAGUUUUUUUGUUUUGUUUUGUUUUUUUGGUGCCAGGGAUCGAACUCAGGUCCUUAUGCUUGCACAGCAGGAGGCAAAACCACUGAGCUAAAUCCCCGUCCCCUGAAAAGAGUUUUUCAAUAUGAUGGAUAUUACUAGGAUCCAAAUGAAAAUAAGUAUUAAAAAGUAAUAGGUCACCAGAAAAGAAAAGAAUAGAAAAAUAUAUGAAGACUUUCUACAGCUCACAGUUUCAAAUAUGACUUUCAUAAAGCCAUUCCAUUCCAUCAGAAUGAAGUGGUAUGGAAGAACGUGGAAACUUGGAUUCAGGAGAGAUGGCAGAGCUUUUGGAGUACCAAGGCAUCUCUUGGCAACAUUAAUCGAGCAUCUACGGAACGGUGACACAGAAAGCCAUGCAGUGUGGCCGGGACACUGUGGAUGAGGAUGAGGAGAAGAGUGACAGGUUGAGAUGGACAAUGUGGGCAGAAGGCUUCUCUUGCACAGCCUUGGGUAGACCAUGGAAAGAAGCUGAAGAUUUUCCAAGUCUAAACAGGCACAAAAUAGUUAAAGCAAAGAGUUUUUAUUUUUCCCUAGCAAGAGUACAAGGAGGAAGUUUAGAGGAAAUGGGUGUCUCCCCCAUCUGAAAGCUUUGGCAAGUCAUCAAUGCUCAGGCCACCAGCAACUUCAUUACCCAACCUCUAACUUGCCUGCCACCACUUCCACAG
ensembl:lncRNA